CACUCUCAGAACUGUGGGGUUAGUGACAUCCCACGACUGGACCAAACCCAGUCCCAAGAACAAGCCCUGACUACUGUGGCUCCGGGAGAAACUUUCAAGGACCCAUGUGUGGACGCCACUGUUUCCGCUGACCAGCUCCUUCCCAGCAGCCAACAGGGCAAGGAUCCCUGAGCAAGGAGGUCUGCUCUGGAGGGGCUGUACCAUGUCUCCAACGCCCUGAGGACAAGCCGCACAAAAAGGGAAACAC